rnacentral:rRNA from 1 species
GCGACGAUCAGUAGCCGGCUUGAGAGAGUGAACGGCCACAUUGGGACUGAGACACGGCCCAAACUCCUACGGGAGGCAGCAGUGGGGAAUAUUGCACAAUGGGGGGAACCCUGAUGCAGCGACGCCGCGUGAGUGAAGAAGUAUUUCGGUAUGUAAAGCUCUAUCAGCAGGGAAGAAAAUGACGGUACCUGACUAAGAAGCCCCGGCUAACUACGUGCCAGCAGCCGCGGUAAUACGUAGGGGGCAAGCGUUAUCCGGAAUUACUGGGUGUAAAGGGUGCGUAGGUGGUAUGGCAAGUCAGAAGUGAAAACCCAGGGCUUAACUCUGGGACUGCUUUUGAAACUGUCAGACUGGAGUGCAGGAGAGGUAAGCGGAAUUCCUAGUGUAGCGGUGAAAUGCGUAGAUAUUAGGAGGAACAUCAGUGGCGAAGGCGGCUUACUGGACUGAAACUGACACUGAGGCACGAAAGCGUGGGGAGCAAACAGGAUUAGAUCCCCUGGUAGUCCACGCCGUAAACGAUGAAUACUAGGUGUCGGGGCCGUAGAGGCUUCGGUGCC